CGCAUCUGUGCAUGCAGCAUAUCAAUAAGCGGAGGAAAAGAAACUAACAAGGAUUCCCCUAGUAACGGCGAGUGAAGCGGGAAGAGCUCAAAUUUGAAAUCUUAAAGGGUUUCCCUUUACGAAUUGUAGUUUAAAGAAGUGUUUUCUGUUGAGGUUUUGGUAAAAGUUCUUUGGAAUAGGACAUCAUAGAGGGUGAGAAUCCCGUAUUUGACCUUUACUUUCAACUUUGUGAUACACUUUCAAAGAGUCGGAUUGUUUGGGAAUGCAGUCCAAAAUGGGUGGUAAAUUUCAUCUAAAGCUAAAUAUUGGCGAGAGACCGAUAGCGAACAAGUACCGUGAGGGAAAGAUGAAAAGAACUUUGAAAAGAGAGUUAAACAGUACGUGAAAUUGUCAAAAGGGAAGCGUUUGACACCAGUGUUGUUUUUCUGAAAAUCAAUUAAAGAACUGUUUAUGCUAAGUUGUUUAGACUUUAUCAGCUAACUGUUUAGUUUUGAGCUUUUCUUUAAUGCACUUUUCAGUUAACAAGUCAACAUCAAUUUCUUUUGCUGUAAAAAAGCUUGAGGAAGGUGGCUUGAGAUUCGUCUUAAGUGUUUAUAGCCUCUUGCCUAUGCAGUCGGAGAGAUUGAGGUCUGCAGCGUAGAUCCUUCGGGGCUAAAUGCAUUUGUGCUAAGUUAUAGCAUUUUAUAGACAACUUGUUGACUAUGAUUUGUCUUGUAGCUUACUCGCUUAUGUCAUUUUACCUACGCUUAGGAUGUUGAACGCGCACAGAGUCUC
rnacentral:rRNA from 1 species